rnacentral:rRNA from 1 species
GAUGAACGCUGGCGGCGUGCCUAAUACAUGCAAGUCGAGCGAACAGACGAGGAGCUUGCUCCUCUGACGUUAGCGGCGGACGGGUGAGUAACACGUGGAUAACCUACCUAUAAGACUGGGAUAACUUCGGGAAACCGGAGCUAAUACCGGAUAAUAUAUUGAACCGCAUGGUUCAAUAGUGAAAGACGGUUUUGCUGUCACUUAUAGAUGGAUGCGCGCCGCAUUAGCUAGUUGGUAAGGUAACGGCUUACCAAGGCAACGAUGCGUAGCCGACCUGAGAGGGUGGUCGGCCACACUGGAAUGGAGACACGGUCCAGACCCCUACGGGAGGCAGCAGUAGGGAAUCUUCCGCAAGGGGCGAAAGCCUGACGGAGCAACGCCGCGUGAGUGAUGAAGGUCUUCGGAUCGUAAAACUCUGUUAUUAGGGAAGAACAAAUGUGUAAGUAACUAUGCACGUCUUGACGGUACCUAAUCAGAAAGCCACGGCUAACUACGUG